rnacentral:rRNA from 1 species
CUCAGGAUGAACGCUAGCUACAGGCUAACACAUGCAAGUCGAGGGGCAGCAUUGGAGUAGCAAUACUCAGAUGGCGACCGGCGCACGGGUGAGUAACACGUAUCCAACCUGCCGCUUACUCGGGGAUAGCCUUUCGAAAGAAAGAUUAAUACCCGAUGGUAUAAAGAGUUCGCAUGUUCUCUUUAUUAAAGAAUUUCGGUAAGCGAUGGGGAUGCGUUCCAUUAGAUAGUUGGCGGGGUAACGGCCCACCAAGUCUACGAUGGAUAGGGGUUCUGAGAGGAAGGUCCCCCACAUUGGAACUGAGACACGGUCCAAACUCCUACGGGAGGCAGCAGUGAGGAAUAUUGGUCAAUGGACGAGAGUCUGAACCAGCCAAGUAGCGUGAAGGAUGACUGCCCUAUGGGUUGUAAACUUCUUUUAUAAGGGAAUAAAGUGAGGGACGUGUCCCUUUUUGUAUGUACCUUAUGAAUAAGGAUCGGCUAACUCCGUGCCAGCCGCUGC